rnacentral:rRNA from 1 species
GAUGAACGCUGGCGGCGCGCUUAACACAUGCAAGUCGAACGGUGAAGACCAGCUUGCUGGGUGGAUUAGUGGCGAACGGGUGAGUAACACGUGAGUAACCUGCCCUUAACUCUGGGAUAAGCCUGGGAAACUGGGGCUAAUACCGGAUAGGGGCGUCCACUGCAAGGUGGGUGAUGGAAAGAUUUAUCGGUUUUGGAUGGACUCGCGGCCUAUCAGCUUGUUGGUGAGGGGUUGCGUCACCAAGGCGACGCGGCGUAGCCGGCCUGAGAGGGGGAGCGGCCCCACUGGGUCUGAGAUGCGGCCCAGACUCCUCCGGGACGCAGCAGUGCGGUAUAUUGCACUAUGCGCGGAAGCCUGCUGCAGUGCCGCCGCGUGGGGGAUGACGGCCAUCGGUUUGUAUUCCUCUUCCAGUAGGGAAGAAGCGAAAGUGACGGUACCUGUAUAGGAAGCACCGGCUAACUACGUG